AACGAACGCUGGCGGCAGGCUUAACACAUGCAAGUCGAACGCAUGCCUUCGGGCAUGAGUGGCAGACGGGUGAGUAACGCGUGGGAACCUACCCCUUGGUACGGGAUAGCUCCGGGAAACUGGAGAUAAUACCGUAUGUGCCCUGAGGGACAAAGAUUCAUCGCCAAGGGAUGGGCCCGCGUCGGAUUAGCUAGUUGGUGGGGUAACGGCCUACCAAGGCGACGAUCCGUAGCUGGUCUAAGAGGAUGAUCAGCCACAUUGGGACUGAGACACGGCCCAAACUCCUACGGGAGGCAGCAGUGGGGAAUAUUGGACAAUGGGCGCAAGCCUGAUCCAGCCAUGCCGCGUGAGUGAUGAAGGCCCUAGGGUUGUAAAGCUCUUUCACCGGGGACGAUAAUGACGGUACCCGGAGAAGAAGCCCCGGCUAACUUCGUGCCAGCCGCCGCCGUAACAC
rnacentral:rRNA from 1 species